rnacentral:rRNA from 1 species
AUGGCGGCGAUGAAGGUGGUGCGGAACCUGGACCUGGAGCGGUACAUGGGCCGGUGGUACGAGAUCGCGUGCUUCCCGUCCCGGUUCCAGCCCAAGGACGGCGCCAACACGCGCGCCACCUACACGCUCGGCCCGGACGGCGCCGUCAAGGUGCUGAACGAGACCUGGACCGACGGCCGCCGCGGCCACAUCGAGGGCACCGCCUUCCGUGCCGACGACGCCGGCGACGAGGCCAAGCUCAAGGUCAGGUUCUACGUGCCCCCCUUCCUCCCCGUCUUCCCCGUCACCGGCGACUACUGGGUGCUCCACGUCGACGACGCCUACCAGUUCGCGCUCGUCGGCCAGCCCUCCCGGAACUACCUCUGGAUCUUGUGCAGGCAGCCGCAGAUGGACGAGGGCGUGUACGAGGAGCUGGUGGAGAGGGCCAAGGAGGAAGGGUACGACGUGAGCAAGCUCCGGAAGACGCCGCACCCGGAGCCGACGCCGGAGAGCCAGGACGCCCCCAAGGACGGCGGCCUGUGGUGGAUCAAAUCUCUCUUUGGAAAGUAG